CAAUCAUCAAGAGUGGUGGAGGGACUGGCCCGAAGAAGCCCGGCAACCUACCUGAGUUUAGCAAGGUAAGGUGCCAAAUCCUGCAUUCUGGGGAAUCCGGAGUGAGAGAUGAGGG
rnacentral:ncRNA from 16 species